GCUUACUUGAAACGAGAUGGUCCCUUUCCGGCAACGGGGAGGGCUAAGAGAGAAUGCGGUGCGAUCCUUUCCCAAGGAUCAAUGCCGCGGCUGCCCCCGCAACUGUAGGCGGCGAGCCGUUUGCCGAGAGGCCACUGGAGAAAUCCGGGAAGGCAGGCAAAUGGCGACGACCCGCGAGCCAGGAGACCUGCCGUCCGAUAAUUUUGCUU
rnacentral:ncRNA from 2 species